rnacentral:sRNA from 8 species
UGAGGGAGCUCUGAGCUGCAGCAUGCUAUGUCGAACGGGUGUCCGUGCUAAAGUUCGGUAUCGAUAUGGUGUUCUGGGGGGAGCCCGAGACCACCAGGUUGUCUAAGGAGGGGUGUACCGGCCCAGGUCGGAAACGAAGCAGGUCAAAUCCCCCGUACUGUCCAGUAGUGGGAUAGUGCCUGUGAGUAGAUGCUGCAGUGCAGCCUUGGCAAGACAUCGAAACCCAAUCUUUU